CGGCGGACGGGUGAGUAAUGCCUAGGAAUCUGCCUGGUAGUGGGGGACGAACGUUUCGAAAGGAACGCUAAUACCGCAUACGUCCUACGGGAGAAAGCAGGGACCUUCGGGCCUUGCGCUAUCAGAUGAGCCUAGGUCGGAUUAGCUAGUUGGUGAGGUAAUGGCUCACCAAGGCGACGAUCCGUAACUGGUCUGAGAGGAUGAUCAGUCACACUGGAACUGAGACACGGUCCAGACUCCUACGGGAGGCAGCAGCC
rnacentral:rRNA from 1 species